UCGAAGCCAUCGAUUUGGAUGCUGCGCUAAUGGAGAACAAUAUCGAUCAUGGGCAUUUCUUGGGCACAUGGGAGAGGAGCUUUCUCAUUCCCAGCACUCUCUCCUGUUCCACAUCCAGUAAUGGGGCUGGAACGUGUCUGCCUCAGCUCAGGCUUGGGCUCUUCUCUUAGGAAACGCCACCAACUCCUCACAGCACGGAGGCCCAGCAUGAAUGGCAACUGUGCUGGGGGCACAGACUGGUUGAGAAAUCCGGACUCCAGCUGUCCUGUGGAAAACAGAACUCUAGCAGCUCAUGAGCCAGAAGAAAGUUCUGUGGUGUUAGGAGGUCACAGCCCUGCAGUUCCCAGGACUGAGGGUUUGGAUUCUGAAUGCCGACACAACACUUGCCCAGUAAGUCCCCAGAUCAGUGGCAUGCUGUCUGCUCCUGAAGAACCUCACAACUGCCAUAUCCCAGAUGGAAGCAAGAGACAGCUGGAAUAUUUUAAUACCCAGGAACGCCAUGGGUGCAGUGCAUUGUCGUCAAGCAGCAGUUCUCAGACAGUAGCUCCAGAGAAAGUGACGCUGGUGGUGGAUGGCACCCGCUUUGCAGUGAAUCCCCAGAUCUUCACUGCUCACCCUGACACCAUGCUGGGAAGAAUGUUUGGGCCAGGCAGAGAAUACAAUUUCACCCGGCCAAAUGAGAAGGGCGAGUACGAGAUCGCCGAAGGGAUCAGCUCAGCCGUGUUCCGCACCGUGCUGGAUUAUUACAAAACCGGAAUCAUUAACUGCCCUGAUGGGAUUUCCAUCCCAGACCUUCGAGACACGUGUGAUUACCUCUGCAUAAACUUUGAUUUCAACACAAUCAAAUGUCAAGAUUUAAGUGCUCUGUUACACGAGCUCUCCAAUGAUGGGGCUCACAAGCAGUUUGACAGCUACCUGGAGGAGCUGAUCCUGCCCAUCAUGGUGGACAGCGCGAGGAAGGGGGAGCGGGAGUGCCACAUCGUCGUGCUGACCGACGAGGACACCGUGGACUGGGAUGAGGAUCACCCACCUCCCAUGGGAGAGGAGUAUUCACAAAUCCUUUACAGUUCCAAGCUGUACAGAUUCUUCAAGUACAUCGAGAACCGGGACGUGGCAAAAGCUGUGUUAAAAGAGCGGGGCCUGAAGAACAUUCGCAUUGGCAUCGAAGGCUAUCCCACCUGCAAGGAGAAGGUGAAGAGGAGGCCCGGUGGCCGCUCUGAGGUGAUCUACAACUACGUGCAGCGCCCGUUCAUCCAGAUGUCCUGGGAGAAGGAGGAGGGCAAGAGCCGCCACGUUGAUUUCCAGUGUGUUCGCAGCAAAUCCCUGACAAACCUGGUCACGGUGGGGGAUGAUGUUUCAGAGGACCACGAGGUGAUCAUGCAUCACCCCCCACAAGUGGAUGAACUGGACAGGCUGAACGCUCCCUUCUCCCAAAUGGUCGUUAACGAUCUGCCGGAUUAGCGCGGCUCAGGGUGGAGGAUCCUGCUGGAUGUGGGAAGCUCUCGCCGUAGUUUCAUCCCAGGUGAUGGGACACAGCCUCCUGCAAGGUGCUUUAUCCUCCUUCAUGCUCUUACUACGUUGUCAUAUUUCAAGCAUGUUAAUAAAGAGCCACACUCCAUAGUCUUAAUUGUGCAAUCAAAAGCAACGUCUCCUCAGACAAAAAGGAAGUGGCCUGUUGUUUCUACUACAAAGGCUUCUGGAUUGUGGGUGCUGAAUAUUUUAUCUGAACUUCUGAAGGAAGAGCACGAGUGUAAACCUCUUGUUUGACGUGAGAGAGGAAAUUCUGGGCCUGUCAAGACAAAGCUUUCCUUUACCAUUAGGCACAGCUUUGUUUUUAUGAGUUACAGAGGAGUGAACAUCAAAGCAGGACAGACGAUAUUCUAUAUCAACCAGCAGAAAUGUAGCACAGUGUGACGGCAAAACCCUGAGCGUGGAGGAAUCUGUUUGCACUGCCACCUGGCUUUGGAUCCAGCGUGGUGUACUGCUGUCCUAGGGAAGGAGGAGCCAGUUCCAUAGGAAGCAUUUGCCUGUUCACAGGAAUUCCCCGUCCAUACUUCUCCGUGAGAUGGAAUCAUUGUUUUUAGGGAUGUUUUCUGUUAAGUUCGGUAAAAUGAGUAGAUGAUGCUGAAGGAAAACCCAGAAGAGACUGUAGCUGAUAUUUUACCAAUAAAAUAAAUCUGUUAAUAGCCAAAUAGAUGUAAGAAGCUUUCUAGAGGUGACUGUGCAUGCUGAAGACUUUGAGUUGUCUUCUCCGUCCCCCUGCUAAGACAGAGCCAGUGGAGGAGCUCCCAGUUUCCUACCUGAGUAAAAUCCUUGGUUUCAUCAACCUCAGUCAGUCAGAAUUGCUGUAGACUCUCCAAGGAGCUGCUGCUGUGGCUUUAAAAAGCCAGCUACUUUCUUCCCAGUUUGGAACUGACUGGAACAUUUUGCUGUCAGGCAGAUUUUUACAAGGCAUCACCACGGGGCCCUGCAAAGCACCUCCUUCCCAGACAGCAGCUGCCUUUACAGGCUCCUCGUGGGACAGGAGCUGGUGAGGAUCUCCAGCUGCGUGACUUUCGAGAUGGAAUUAUGUCUUCAAGUGAGGAAUCAUGGUUUUAUGGAAGAGCAGCUCAGAGUGACACACACGAGUGGUGGAGGGGUCACACUCUGUGAGCAUCCCUGGAUAUGGGGCAACACCGCCGGAGUGGUGCUGUGACCUGCAGCCUCCCAGCACGCAGCCUGGGCUCACCGUCGAGGGGAGGUUGGUUUUUCCCGUCCCCACAGAGGUUACGCGCAUCACCCGAUGGCCACAGGAGCAAGGCGUGCUCAGGGACAGAGGCCACCGAGCCACCAGCAGUCACCUCUGCGUCCCAGGGGCCAAGGAAACAGCCCCUCAGUCUCAGAGAAAACUGCAUCUCCAAGGACAGAGAGGCUGAUCCAGAGUGUGCAGGGCAGGGCAGGAUCAUUCCCCGGAGGUUUGAGCUGUCACAGUCAGGCCCCCGGGGCUCCAUCCUCUGAGUGAUGAGGAAGCUCGCACAUCCCAGCUGAGCAAACUCAUUGUACAGCUUGGGCUGCACAACCCAUCUUCAUCUCGCUCCUCCCGGCUCAUGGAGAAUAUCUGAAACCACGGGCUUCAAUAAUGGUUUGAGUGGCCUUGGGAAUCUUAACAGGGAGCUGUGAGGAAUGACGUAACAAAAGAAAUGUGAUCCUGUACUCAACCCAGAUGUGUGGAGACAUUAGGGAAAUGUCGUUUUGCUUAAUUUUAUUUACAUUUCUAAAAAAAAGAAAAAAAAAAGGCAAGUCCAAUUAAGAGGGUGAAAAGGGGUUUUAUUAUUGACAUUUUAAUCCCUGAGAACUGCGGUCAACACAGUUGAAGUCUAUCAGCAACAGAGGAAUUUCAGGAUUUAAGACAGUGUGUAAUCCCUACACAAAGGAAAUGCUGAUAUAUAUUUUAACACACAUGACAGAUUUCAUUUCUGAAAGACUGACAUUACAGUUAAACUGGACCUUGCUUUGCUUAGAGGUGGUCAGUUUGUUAUCAAAGGUGAACAGCAAAGUCUAAGGAAACACAGGUGGCCUCAUGAAUCUGCUGCUGUGGGAGCUCUUGGAGAGGAUUUCACCUGAGGAAAGAAAAGGAAGUGUGGAACAAAAGGCUCAAAGAGGACCGUGAAAGCUCAUUCUUGUCUCUUCCACCAGCAGAACAAGGUGGAUGUCUGGGGCUUUGGCUGAAUGGUGAAUCACUGCCAACUUUUACCUGGGAAAACAAAGGAAAACCUGAGGGUCCAAGAUGCUUAAAGCAGUCUGCAUGCUGAAGGAGCAGGAAAAACCCUUUGUAACUACAAUAUAAGGAAAAUGAUUACUAGAGCAGCGUGUGAAAUGACUGCAGGCAGGUGUGAAUAAAAGUGAACCUGUAUUCAGUGGUAAAGUUCUUGGAGAGUCAAAACAAUAGGCUGUGAAUGAGCCUGGGAAUGUGCAGAUGAAUGACUCGAACUUCCCGCUGUGUGUGAGCUCCAGGAGCUCCAGCUGGCUGCAGCAUCCCUAAGGCAUCCAAGAGAGACAGGGAGAGGGAAGAGAGGGGACCCAUCUCACAAUCCCAGCGCUCAGGUGGGAGAGGACGCUGUGAGACCCUCUCUGAGGCUCUCUGUGAACACCUGGAGGAGUGAAUGCAGUUUAGGGUUUUCAUUUUGCUGUUCACCUUUGCGCUGGAGCUGUUCCCUCCAGCAGUGCACGUGUAAAGCGAGGGACACACGGCUGGGCUGACACUGGUGGUCAAAGGGGGUCGAAAAGGUGCUGUGGGUUCCAGUUACCCUUUGGGAUCUUCCCACCCAGCUGCUUUAGCGAGAGGAGUCCCUGAGCUUCCAUCGGUUCCAGCAGCUGCUUCACCGGGCUUGAAACCUCAUCUCCAUCGCUGUUGAAGCUCCAUUCUCCGUUGUUGUUGAAAUCUGAGGGAUCUUGGCUCUUCUGCGCGUCCCACCCGGCAUUCGGGGCUGGGCUAUCCCUGCUGCUGGCGGUGUGCACGGCACCCAGGGCGUGCUGCAGCCACAUCAGGCGCUUCAGCCCUUGCACCGCCCUCCCUCUGUCGUUCAGGAGCUGGUGCUCGGUCACUGCCCUGCUGCGAGGGAAGGAACACGGAGUCAGGAACGGGAGACGCUGAUUUGCAUCCAUGGAUCCCAGGUGCUUCUCUGCACCGAGGAAGGGGCGCUGGAGGUGCCUCAGGCUCCAGCAGCCUGUUAGGAAGCCUAAAGAAUCCUGCAGGUGGGAAGCUGAAAUGCUGUGCUAUUCCCAAAGGUGUACUUUUUUUUAGAAGGGUAAACUGGGGAGACUGACAAUUUGGUCUUUCCCAAUUCUAGAUUCUUUUCAGAGGUUUCAGUAGCAGGAUAAAGUUCUCUUUCCAUCACCUCAGUGUUACAGGACUCUUGGGUUUGUUUCUUUCCUUGCAGAGUUGUAACUUGGGAGUAAUUUACCUGAAAUUACUGAUGUCCCUGAAAUAAAACCAAACUCCUAUUUUCUUCAGAUACAACCAAAAUUUUUGAGUCAAACUUCAGCCUGCCCUCCUCCAUCAGUCAACAGUUGACUGAGGAGGGCAGGCUAAAUCUCAGAUGCAAAUCUUCCAGGAUUCCAGGCUGCUCAGAUGAGAUCUAACUGCAGCUAUAGGCUCCUACUGCAGAUUUGGAUCCGAAUGGGAACCUAAAUAUGGAAUUUCAGCAUGUGCCAUCUCCAUGGCUUCUGUUGAACAUCCUUAUGUGAUUUGCUACGCUGCGUUUAAAAGUGACAACUGAAAUACGGUCCAUGGUGCACAUCUAAAAAUGCAAUUGGUCUAAUUUUAUACUGCAGAGAGGGUGAAUAAAAUGCUGCUGUAUCAAAUACAUGGAAUUUUUCUUCUGGCAUGCCUGGAGUAACCAAGAGCAAUGCAGAACACAGCCCAUGAAAUCAAAAGUGAGCAGUUUUCUAAGGAUAUCAAUGAAGUUAAAAGGUAACAUUGCUUACUUUUCAAGGUCUUGGCACAUUGCAAAACAGGCAGAGAAAAGAAUUGCCAAAAAUGUAACUGUCUGCAGAGAUCUCUGGGGCAGGAGCUUUUUCUCUCUCCUUUAAAUCAGCUCCACAGGACCAGAAGCUGACGGUGCAAGCCAAAAUCUUUCCCUCUGUUCUUGCUUUCACCUGACAAAAUGAAUUUCAGCCUUUAAGCAGGGGCGAGAGUGGAGCACUGUGCUGUGGUAAAAUAUCCCAGGACCUCCCACAUCAUCCCAGACCCGUGGAUUUGUAACAUACACAGGAAAGGAUGGAUAGGAUUCACAGGAUAUUUCUACAUUUCCUUGCUCAGAGUCCUAAAUCUCCUUUCCCACUGUUGCCUCUCGAUACAAUAUUUUGAACUCUUGUACAUUUGCAAGCACAGAAGAUUAUUUCAGGACUUUUCAGGAAGAGACCCUCCUGACAAAAAAACUUCACAGCAAUUUGACAAAGAUCAGGAUUGCUGAAAAUCACAAAACCCAAAAGUUGUUUGAGGCUAGAGCAAGAAUGUCAAGUUAAAAGGUGUUCACAGCCCUGGGGUUUAGGCCUUCAAUAACACAACCUUUUCUCCAUGCUGACACGCAAAUAGCCAGGAUUACAUUAGACUGAUGCUGGAUUUCUUUUCUGUGAAGAAGUGAAUUUCUGGCUUAGGGAAGGGACGACUAGAAGAUGUCAUUUUGCAAUAAUUACUUUAAUCUACGUUAUAAUUUCAUCCAGCUCUACAUCUGCUCAUGGCAUUGGUACACCCAUACCUUCCCAUCCCUUCAACCCCACCACAUCUUUAUUGCCAGGUCUAGCCUUAAAAUUUCUUCAUUUUUGGUACUAAUGACUGUUUCAGGACUGGCUCCAGCCUAGCCCUUUAUCCAUUUACCAGCAAAUCCUGUAUUAAUUGUUACAUCAAAACCCAGAGGGACAACAAAACAAAAGUUGCAGCAUUUAAAUUGUUAUGUAAGAGUAGUAAACACAAGUUCCUGAACAAUUUUUUGAAGGAAUAAUCCUUUCUGUGCAGAAGAAAUUUGGGAUAAUAAAAAACUCAGCAUCUCCUCAAACAACUUGUCUUCAACUUGAAUGUUGUCAGUGGCUGGAUACAAAAAGCAAAUUAUACAUUAACAGAACAUAAAUACACAUCAAUUCUGUAUUUGUUUGUAACAAGCUUGUUCUUAAUAAGCCUGCCGCAGUAAUUUGUGAGUAAUUUUCUUGGGCAAUAUCUUGAAAUCAAACUAGAUGUGAAAUAACAAGUGGGUAUUAGUUCUGAUGAAAAACGUGUGUAUUAAAUGCAGAUACAUGCACAUAAAUAUACAUAGAGAUGGGUGUAUUAAAUGCUGAGGGAUAUUUUAAGUCAUGCUAAUGCAGAACUGCUCAGACACAAUAGAGAAAUGACACUUCGCUGCUCUGAUCAACAGUGAACUCUACAUUAAUUAAAAGCAUCUCCCAGUUACAAAAGGAACGUUAUCCACUUACUGCUGGUGGUGUUUGGAUCCCAGUGAAGUCCUGACCUGCAGAGUCUCCUGCCAGCCCCGUGGUGAUGCUCCGGUGCAGUGACACCCAGUGCCCUUGACCGCCUUUUAUAGCAGCCCAGAGAGCUCAGGAACAAUGGGAAUGGGCUCCACAGCACUCUGUGACUAAGACCUUGUGCCAGGGAAAUGAGACAGCUCCAGCAAUAAUAAAUCUCAGAUUUUAAAAUAUUCAGCUGUGACUAAGGAAAAGAUCACAGCUAUGCAGGCAGUUUCUUCUUCCUUUGCAGUCUCUCCUGUUUUGUGAGAACUUUAGAUUCUACCACAGCUUUCCUGUGCCCCAAGAUGAUGGACAGGGGAUAUCCAGCUGUUCCAGGAAAUGUGUCUCUGCUGUGGCAAUAGAUUUUAUUCCUUUACUGUGCUUAUGGCUCAGGUGUGGGAUCCUGAGCUGGGGAGGAAGAAUCUAAAUUAACAGUACUGGUGCCCCCUGCGAUGUACAGUCAGCAAAAUCCAGUUACAAAACCACAGAAUCACUGAAUGAAGAAGGUCGAAAAAGACCUUUAAGAUCAUCUUGUCCAACCUAAGACCUAACACCUCCUCAUCAACUAAACCAUGGCACUGAGUGCCACAUCCAGGUCCAGUCUCUUUGUAAACAAAUCCUGGGACAGUCUGUCUUGGGUUAUGGCUGUAUCAUCAGGAUACUCUGUGACUCCACCACUUCCCUGGGCAGACAAUUCCAGCACUCAAUCACUCUUUCAGUUAAGAUUUUUUUUUUUCUGAUGUCUAACGUAAACUUCCCCUGAUGCAGCUUAAGUCUGUGUCCUCUUGUUCUGUCAAGGAGCAGAAACUGACCCCAAUCUGAGUACAAGCACCUUUCAGGCAGUUGUAGAGAGUGAUAAGGUCACCCCUGAAUCUCCUUUUCUCCAGGCCAUACAACCCCAGCUCCCUCAGCCAUUCUUCAUUGGGCUUGUGUUCCAAGCCCUCCACCAGCCUUGUUGCCUCCUCUGGAUGUGUUCCAAGCGAGUUCAAGUUACUCACAGAAAAUCUCAGGAGCUGCUAAGUGAUAAAAUCCCAGAAUGGUUGAACUGGAGAGGACCUUAAAGCCCACAAUCCCACCCCCUGCCAUGGGCAAGGACACCUUCCACCAUUCCAGGAUGCUCCAAGCCCCUUCCAGCCUGGCCUUGGACACUUCCAAGGAUGGGGCAGCUACAGAUUCUCUGGGCAAACUAAAUAAGAUCCCACUGGAUUUUAAUGUUCAGUACAAAUUUAAUUCAAAUCCGUUGAUUGGACAGUGAAGAAAUUUGUUUGAAAUCUUGCCAAAUGGGAGAAACUCAUUGAACAAUAAAAGUGCAAAUGGUAGUACAGUCAAAAAGUCAAAUUCUGGUAUGUUUUGAAACCCCACAAGCCGACACCACACAAGGUUAUGUGUUCACUAUAUGAUCUCUAAGCAGGUAAUUCCAAUAGAAUUUGGAUACUCAAGAUGUGGCUGGAUCAUUAGGCUGAAACUACUUAAGAGUUCCUGUUUCUCAAAGUGAAAGACAGUGAAUGUAUUUGUCAUCUCUGAGGAGCAAUUCCCGGAGAAGAUUGGACAGAUCAUUUGCUCAGUGCUUUCUGAAGCCAUGGAUUCCUUUCCCAGAGGCGCAGGGCUGCGUUCCUGAUAAAGCCAGGCUCAGGUGGAUGCAGACACGUUGUCCUGCACAGACAGACAGGCCCCUUGCAGGGCUUCACAGCCUGGUCUGUUCUCACAGCUUCCAUGGACACCAAAUUGCAUUAAUUACAUUCCUCAAGGCAGCUCGUCUGAGCCCCACUGUGUCUGAGACACCCAAUAAACGUUCCUAACUUCAUUACCUCAGUCCUGAUCGUUAAGAAGAGUGUUGCCCAUUAGAGUGCGUCACCAAUUAAAGCUGACAUUUGUUAAAUUUUGGUAGAUCAGGGCCCGGCUUCACAUCUGAGUCUCCAGGGCAGCACUUAGGCUGUGGUCAUACCAAAUUAUCCCCCGUGGAUCCCUUGGUUACAUCUUUAAGGAUUAAUAAGCAUUGACCAAAGUCCUGCGUAAAACAUCUGGGACUUUUCAUCCAUGAACUUUUCACGUCUCCGGUGCACAAUGGGCUUUCAUCGGCUGCAAUUCUCGGCAUCUCCACCGGAAAAACAUCAGCUGAGUGACCACAGCAGAGAUGGCAACGUGGGAUCGGGGCAGGGGCACUUGGAGGAUGUUCUGGUGGUCACAUUCCUCUGGCCAUUUCCUUCCACCCAAGGACUCUGGAGAAGUCGGAAUAACCACGGUCCUCACUUCGUGCCAUCUCCCUGAGCUCGAACUGCGCCAGGGUUACCCAUGAGAGAUACAAUUUUUCUAAAGAAAACAUAAAACGUGUCAAUUGCACACUCCAGCUAUCCAGGAGGAAACGUUCCCAGCUGUAAUGGGACCCCAAAUCCCUUGAGCUGCUGUGCCGCCUGUGGAAAGCCGGGCACCGCCCUGCCGAGAGGAAACGCUCUGAUCACACUCGCAGUAAAUAGAGCUGCCCUGGCCUCCCUCACUCAGAGAUGGGAGGAAAUGACACCUCACAGCAAACCACGAAGAUUUUGGCACCAUCACACUUGCACUCGAGGUGCUCCAGGGGCAUCACCAGCUCUGUGCCCCCGGGAAAGGAGCCAGCAGACCCACGGCUUCCAUAACCAUUUCAAGAGGUGAAGUUCAGCUCCCAGGAGUGAGUUCCAGGCUUUCCCUCCCUCUGGGUGCUUCUGGCUCUUCUGUGUCACCUCCUUGUUGCUGGGGGCAGUCCUGUGCCAUCUGAAGAGGUGCCAGCUUUCCCAUUUGGGAGGGGGGCAAACUGUUCCAGGAGCAGUUUGAAAUCCUGGCCCCUGUGCACUGUGUACUGCGUCAUUCCACAGAAAACUCCCAUCUUCCAGGGAAUUAAAAUUAGAGUGGAACAGCAGUGACUCAGGCUCACUGUUUUCAUUUUCCAUUUUCUGAUUUCAAGCCAAAUCUACAGAAGCUCUUGGGACUCACAGCUCUCUCUGAACAUGGUAGUAAGGGUGAGUGUUUUGUCCUCCAAAACCUAUCCUGAAACCAAACCUGGGGCUGAUUCUCUUUUCUGCCCAAAACAAUCUCCAGAUGGAAUAUUUUAUGUGUGCAAAACAAACUCAAGUGAAGUUGAGACAAAGCCUGGGAUCCCUUUUGCUGCUUCUGUAACGCCCACUGAACUCUCUGAGAUUAUCCCAGGUUCCACAGUGUUGUAGAAGUCUCCUGAGCACCUGAGUAAAAACAAGGGAUGUGUCCCAGUGCCAUGGGCCGUGUCUCCAUGAAAAAGAACUCUCUGGGAUCUGCCCCUGGCAGAGAAUGUCACUGUGGUGCCAAUAGCUAAGACAUGAGACCCCAAGUGGGUUCUUCUUCUUCUAAGCAGUGGCAGAAGCCUCACACCUUGAAAGGUGAGGGUGAAGGAUGAGCAAUUAAAUGUCAGCCAGGUAAAGAAACAUCACACCAAUUAAUCCCCAAGUGCUGAGGCUUGGGGACACGCUGUGCCCCUGCUUGGUGCUGUGUCUUACUUUAGGUCUAUGAUACAAAAAUUACAGUCUGUUGUUUCACUCUCUCUUUACAUGAAGUCUGAGGUAGAGAUAAAAUCUUUCACAGUGUCAAAACAUGUUUUAAAAGCAAGGAAAUAAGGGACUUGUACCCUGUAAACAGAAGAGUGUGUGGGAAUAAGCUCACACACUGAAAUAUAUCUAAAGAUCAGCCUUGUGUAAGUUUGUUUCUUCAGAAAAGGGCCCUCAGCAGGGCAGGUCGAUGGGCAGGAUGUGAAAAUGGGGCAAAUCCACAGGAACCUGAUGGCAGCAGGCUCAGAUGUGCCUGUGUACAGUCGGUUUUCUGACUGGUCCCCUCCACCAGUUCCUGUUGUGUUCGAGCAGUGACGUUUCCCAGCAGAAGAUCUUUCCAUGGGCAGAACCGUGCCACGAAAUAACUGGUUUUGCUGGUGUCUGGUUUUGCUUGAGGAGCAGCUCUAAGAGAUCCUCUUACAGAUAGGAGUAUUCUCCAGUAAAAAUUAUCUGUCUCCUGAGGUAUCCAGAGCUCCAGGAGCAUUUGGACAAUGUUCCCAGUCACAUGGUGGGAUUUUGGGGUGUCCUGUGAAGGCCAGGAGUAGAUUUUGGAUGGUUCUUGCGGGUCCCUUCCAGCUCAGGAUAUUCAGUGGUUCUGUGAUCCCUUAAAUUUGGCUUACACAGCUGAGGUUCCUUCGAAAUCAUAACGUCUAGAAUGUGUUCAUUUUCCUCUCUGAGACUGAAAUCUCAGAAACCAUGACAACAGUUUGACUGGAACACUUUACUCCAGAUCAGUGCGGUCUUGGAUCCCGGUCUGGGGGUGUUAUAAAACAUUUAACCAAUGAUAUUGGACACAAGUGGUAAAAGCCAGCAAGUACAAUGCAGCAGACACUCAGAAACUUGGAAGAAGGAGAGAAGUAAUGUAACACAAAGCCUCCACAUAUGUGUGACAUCCAGAGGGCUGGUUUGGGGACCAGCUUUGGGAGGACAAACUGCUGACUUUGGAAUGACACCAGUGUUGAGUGGCUGUGCUGGCACAUCCCAACCCCAGCUCCGGGAAUUUGGCUGAACCCUCUCACCUCUGCCUUGUGUCCUGGUGAUGGGCCACGUUUAGUUUCUGAAUAAUGCCAAAAGCAAACUGACAAUAGAUUAUGUUUGGAUGAUUUCUGUGGAUUGUGAUUUAUAAAAGUGGAGACAGGCUUAACCCCAGGGAAGAAGUGCUUGAAUAGAGCAGGUAACAUGUCCUAGGUGAGUGCUGAGUGCUCUGUUUGCUUUGCAGCAGGUGAACUGACUUCUGAAUAAAUCCUUUGUUCCCAAGUCUGUCACCUGGAAUUAUCUUCACACAUCAUGUGUAACUUUGGUAUGAAAUUAAAAGUUCUGUUAGGAUUACAAGGUUAUCCAAGUUGCUCUCUAAUUGAGGGUCUAGGAAUGUAGGAAUGCUGCAAAUUCCCUGGGAGAAGGGAGGUGAGUGCUGGAAAUCAGCAUCUCAAGUCCAAAGUGAACAGCUCCAACCUUCAAAUUAUUUCCUUUGUUUGUGUUGCCCCAGGAAAUUAGCCAUCAGCUAAUUUAGAUUACAAUGGAUUAGAUUUCCUUAUUUAAAGGCUGGUAACUCUCAGAUAACUGUACGUACAAUAAAGAUACUUUGGAGCAUUCAUUACCUCAAAA